ensembl:lncRNA
GUUGAAGCUGAAGCUUCAGUACUUUUGGCCACCUGAUGUGAAGAACUGACUCGUUGGAAAAGAUCCUAAAGCUGGAAAAGAUUGAAGGCAGGAGGAGAACGGGACAACAGAGGAUGAGAUGGUUGGAUAGCAUCACCAACUCGAUGGACAUGAGUUUGAGUAAGCUCCCGGAGUUGGUGAAGGACAGGGAAGCCUGGCAUGCUGUGUAGUCCAUGGGGUCGCAGAGUGGACAGGACCAAGCGACUGAACUGAACUGAUGGUACUAGCGCGGCUUGGCUGGUUGCACAGGAGGAGCCCAGGAGGAGAAAGAAGACCAAGGACAAGAAGGUGUUGGAUACAGAACUUACACAAAUUGGGCCUGAGAGGCGUGAGGAGCAGCAGACGCGAGGAUGCACGACCCGGGUUGUCCUUCAUGGUGGAAGGUCUUCUGCCGCUUGCUGCUGAGAAGGGGCUGGCUUCUAGCCCC